AGAUUUCUCUGGUUUAUAUUAACAGUGAGCGCUUUCGGUGGUGCUGUGUAUUGUGCUUUGAACCAAUUCUUCCGCUACAACUCUGAACCGGUCGUCGUUUCCUUGCAAAGAGAUUACCGUGGCUGGACAACUGCCUUCCCAGCCGUGACUGCUUGCUUUCUUGAGAGAGUUGAUCAGGAGAAAGCUAGGCAGUUUAUAUUUAACACAUGGAACGUAACAGAAGAUGGUGAUCCGGAAAAGUAUCAGUAUUACUACGAGUUCGUUGAGCUGACCGCGGAGAUAUCGUUCCGUGGUAACCUUCAGAACUUCUGGAAGUAUCCAAGUGAUGACACAGUGAAGAACAUUGACUUGUUGAAACUUGCUCUCUUCGUACACCCCGAGUACUCCUUAAA
rnacentral:misc_RNA from 1 species